rnacentral:rRNA from 1 species
AUUGAACGCUGGCGGCAGGCCUAACACAUGCAAGUCGAACGAGUGGCGGACGGGUUAGUACUGUCAGGGAAACUGCCUGAUGGAGGGGGAUCACUUAUGGAACAGGUAGCUAAUACCGUAUACCAUCGUAUGUGCCAAGAUGGGAUGAGCGAGCAGGUGGGGUAAAGGCUCACCUAGGCGACGAUCCCUAGCGGGUAUGAGAGGAUGACCAGCCAAACUGGAACUGGGACACGGUCCAGACUCCUACGGGAGGCAGCAGUGGGGAAUAUUGCACAAUGGGCGCAAGCCUGAUGCAGCCAUGCCGCGUGUAUGAAGAAGGCCUUCGGGUUGUAAAGUACUUUCAGCGGGGAGGCGUUACCCGCAGAAGAAGCACCGGCUAACUCCGUGCCAGCAGCCGCGGUAAUUC